UACGGCGAGUGANCGGCAAAGCUCAAAUUUGAAAUCGGCCCCCAGGUCGAGUUGUAAUUUGUAGAUUGUAUCUUGAGAGCGGAUUAAAGUCUGUUGGAACACAGCGCCUUAGAGGGUGACAGCCCCGUAAAAUCUAUUCUCAUUGUAAGAUACUUUCGAAGAGUCGAGUUGUUUGGGAAUGCAGCUCUAAGUGGGAGGUAAAUUCCUUCUAAAGCUAAAUAUUGACGAGAGACCGAUAGCGAACAAGUACUGUGAAGGAAAGAUGAAAAGCACUUUGAAAAGAGAGUGAAAAAGUACGUGAAAUUGUUAAAAGGGAAGGGUAUUGAAUCAGACUUGGUGCUGUUGUUCAACNNUGUUUNGGCNNGGUGUACUCAGCAGUACUAGGCCAAGGUGGGGUGUUUGGGAGUGAAAAAGAAGUAGGAACGUAACUCUUCGGAGUGUUAUAGCCUACUUUCAUAGCUCCUCAGGCGCCUCAGGACUGCGCUUCGGCAAGGACCUUGGCAUAAUGAUUCUAUACCGCCCGUCUUNAA
rnacentral:rRNA from 1 species